GUGCCAGCCGCCGCGGUAAUACGGAGGGGGCUAGCGUUGUUCGGAAUUACUGGGCGUAAAGCGCGCGUAGGCGGGCUGGAAAGUUGGGGGUGAAAUCCCGGGGCUCAACCCCGGAACUGCCCUCAAAACUGACAGUCUGGAGUUCGAGAGAGGUGAGUGGAAUUCCGAGUGUAGAGGUGAAAUUCGUGGAUAUUCGGAGGAACACCAGUGGCGAAGGCGGCUCACUGGCUCGAUACUGACGCCGAGGCGCGAAAGCGUGGGUAGCAAACAGGAUUAGAUACCCUGGUAGUCCACGCCGUAAACGAUGAAUGCCAGACGUCGGGCAGCAUGCUGUUCGGUGUCACACCUAACGGAUUAAGCAUUCCGCCUGGGGAGUACGGCCGCAAGGUUAAA
rnacentral:rRNA from 1 species